rnacentral:rRNA from 1 species
UGCCAUAUCCAAUAAGCGGAGGAAAAGAAACCAACCGGGAUUGCCUUAGUAACGGCGAGUGAAGCGGCAAAAGCUCAAAUUUGAAAUCUGGUACCUUUGGUGCCCGAGUUGUAAUUUGGAGAGGGCAACUUUGGGACCGUUCCUUGUCUAUGUUCCUUGGAACAGGACGUCAUAGAGGGUGAGAAUCCCGUGUGGCGAGGAGUGCGGUUCUAUGUAAAGUGCCUUCGAAGAGUCGAGUUGUUUGGGAAUGCAGCUCUAAGUGGGUGGUAAAUUCCAUCUAAAGCUAAAUAUUGGCGAGAGACCGAUAGCGAACAAGUACAGUGAUGGAAAGAUGAAAAGAACUUUGAAAAGAGAGUGAAAAAGUACGUGAAAUUGUUGAAAGGGAAGGGCAUUUGAUCAGACAUGGUGUUUUGCGCCCUCUGCUCCUUGUGGGUGGGGGAAUCUCGCAGUUCACUGGGCCAGCAUCAGUUUUGGUGGCAGGAUAAAUCCGUAGGAAUGUAACUUGCUUCGGGAAGUAUUAUAGCCUAUGGGAAUACUGCCAGCUGGGACUGAGGACUGCGACGUAAGUCAAGGAUGCUGGCAUAAUGGUUAUAUGCCGCCCGUCUUGAAA